ACGAACGCUGGCGGCAUGCCUUACACAUGCAAGUCGAACGCGAAAGCACUUUCGGGUGUUAGUAGAGUGGCAAACUGGUGAGUAACGCGUGGGAAUAUACCUUAUAGUAUGGGAUAGCCUCGGGAAACUGGGAUUAAUACCAUAUACGCCCUCAGGGGGAAAGAUUUAUCGCUAUAAGAUUAGCCCGCGUCAGAUUAGCUAGUUGGUGGGGUAAUGGCCUACCAAGGCAACGAUCUGUAGCUGGUCUGAGAGGACGAUCAGCCACAUUGGGACUGAGACACGGCCCAAACUCCUACGGGAGGCAGCAGUGGGGAAUAUUGGACAAUGGGCGAAAGCCUGAUCCAGCAAUGCCGCGUGAAUGAUGAAGGCCUUAGGGUUGUAAAGUUCUUUUAGUGGGGAAGAUAAUGACGGUACCCACAGAAAAAGCACCGGCUAACUUCGU
rnacentral:rRNA from 1 species